AAAGGAUAAAGGAUGGAGCAAAACCCGCCACCAGCUGGGGCCAGAAAAUGGAGUAAAAUGAACCCGACCUCUGUUUUUCCCUUCUUUCUAAGGAAAAGUACUGGUGAGGAAGGAAAGCUGCCGGCCCGAUUAUUUCGUGAGCCGGCCGUCCCAGCCCUGUGCAGACUGGCAGGAAUCUGGCAGCGUUUCAGCGCCGCGCUCCUGGGCGAUUCCCCUAAUGCCAUUCCUAAAAUGACAGCGGCAAAGGCAGCGUGCUCGCUCUGAAGGAGGGCAGGAUCCCGGCAAAGGAGGCUGCGCUGAAUCAGCUCUUUGCCCACGGCGGGUCACGGCGACGGCACCGGUGCCACUUUAUCCUGGGGAAACUGAGGCACGGAUGGGGAUGGCCGCAGGGAGCCCGCGUGGCACGUGGUGGCCACGGAUAAUCUGGGAGCCGGCACUAAUCCUGCCCCAUGAUUCACCCGCAUAGUUUCCACCAUCUCGUUCGCCGUGCACGCCACGCGUCCUGUCCCAAAAGGAAACCCCGGCCGGGGGAACGCCAACGGAGACCAUUUGUUCACCUCGGAAAGCUUCAGCUCGCCGGCACCCAACCCAACUCUCCCGGAGCUGGAAAUAGAAAACCAGUCUGAUAGCUCGGCUUUCUGGGCAGCCCACACCAAGCCCUGGCUGUGCCAGUGGAAAUCCAUCCAUCUGUCCUGCCGAUGCUCAUAUCCAAAUUCCCACCUGCUGGCACCGAAAAGCUCUGGCUGCGGGUGGUCCCCAAGGGGGCUGGGGCUGCUCGUGGACGGUGCUGUGCAGCCAAACGGGGCUGAGCUCUUUGUUUUGGGGUGGCACGGUAAAUUGGAGGAGAUUUUGCCGCCA